rnacentral:piRNA from 1 species
UAAAGCCAUACUUUAAGGUCAUACAGACAUA